rnacentral:rRNA from 1 species
GGUGCCCGGCUCAACCGGGUCCCUUUAGCUCAACAAGUAAAGCUGGCGUAGGUAGAGCCCCAUUGGGACGGGCUGGGUGCAGGAAAGGUGCCCCUCCUUUGGGUGCUGGGGUCUCGAGCCCCUCCUUUAGGUGCCGAGCUCGCUCUACUCGCUUGCUGUCGCGCGGCAGUUGGUUCUAGGUCGCGGGGGUUGGCGGAGGCUCGAGGAGGCGGCCGCUGUUCUUCGUUGCGAGGGAUGGGGGAGGGAGGCCACGACUCCUAGGUUCGAGGCGGGGAGGUCGCUGCCGCUGCCUGGCGCUGGCAGUGGCAAGAGGAAGGGGCCUAGAGGGGAGGCGGAGGUUCGAGGCUAGGGGAGGCCGCUGCCGCCACCGUUGCCAAGGCGCCUGCAAUGACAGAGUAGACUAGUUCCCGAAAAGUUGAGUGAUAUACUCGAACUAGAACAAUAGAAAUUAGCCAGUAACUCUUCUUUCUUUCUUUCCAUACCCUUUCGAAUUUAAAUAACCAACCAUACUUAACUUGUCGAUCGGUUCUUCUCUACACUAACCACUACAAAUACAAGACUCAAGACGACGGCAAAUGUACUAUUUAGAAAACGACGACCAAGAAUAAUCUACUCGGUUUCUCAUUUCCAUCUCCACUCUACUAAACAAAGGAAGGAUUCCACAUAUCAACAUGGAGGUUCUAUCCGUUCUCGUUAAAUUAUCAAGUAAAGUCAAAAGAUGGAUAUCAAGGUCCUUCCACCUCGACAUCGACCUUCUAUAUCCUCUGUAUACAUCGAAUGAAAACAGAACAAACAAGUGAAGGUCUAUCUACCUAUAUGCCGACAAAUAUCGUUUCGUACUCAUCUUUACCAACGUUUACACGUUUAUUUCCACAUAUCAUCUUAGUAUAUAGAAAAACAAACAAUAUGUGGAUAAAGUUCGUCUAGUCAACAACUAAAGAGAAGUGGCCGAAACCAAAGUAGUACGGAAACAAAUAUAAGUCGUCUAGUCGACACCACACUGUGGAUAAAUUACCACACAAAUUACGAGAGUGUUUGGGUACUAGUUUCUUACUGGUAUAUAACUAUACGUAUUCAAAUAUUCAUCAAAUAACUGGAUAUACGUCACAACACUGAAGUCACGUCUACUAGCAUGGCACUAAAACGGUACAUUCCUGGACCUUUUACUUGGUUACCAUCAAGAACCUCCCGUUUGAGACAAGUAGUAACAAGAGAAACAUCUAUGGGUAACUCUGUUUGUUAUAAUAAAACACAGAUGAGAAAAUGAGUGAAUGAAGUUAUACAGAAUCUAAUUAGCUUCGUUAGAAAAAAAGAACUUAUACAACUAUGUAAAAAUACACGUAAAUAAAACCUUUACGUAUAAAAGGGUACCGUACUUCCAGAAUCUAUAUAGUCCCACUCGUGUUGCUUUUCGUAACGUUCAGCAAGUAAACUAAAUUCGCAUCAACCAUUACAUAAUGUGGUUAGUUUUAUAUUAUUACUUGUUGUAACACUGGAAUGCCGCGACGUUUCGCGUACUAAUGAAGUUCACUUAUAAUUUAGACUCAUGAAACAUCACUGACGUUCACCGUAAAACCAAGAAUCCUGUAAGACUAAGACUCAUGAAACAUCUCGAAGUUUCUUCGAACUUCUUUAAUUAUAAGAAAAGCGUUCGUUAAAUCAGCUAAAAAAUACGUGUGACGUGUAUAGUAUAUAACCAAGUAUGAUAAAGUAGGAUUAGGUAAAUAUGAAUUUUUAUCAGAUAACUUUGACUUGACCACGAUUGAAUUAUAAAACACAUCAAGUCAGUUGUAGUUCUACGCCAUGGACUACAGGUACGUCUCACCUCUUUGCUGAACUCAUCCCGAUCACUAGCGGCGGAACGUCAAGUAGAUUAAACUUUCAUAGAGACGGAACCUGUACCGUUCACUAUUAAGUCAAAAGAAAACAGCACUUGUUUAAACUUACUACUAUCGUGUACUUUUAAUAAAUCCGGUUGCCAACUAGAGUUACUCUACACCUGACUGGCCAUAGACUUGGGAACAAUUGACUGCCAAAAUACAUAAACAAAUAUACUUAAUACUCUAAAAUACAUAAACAAAAAAUCUUAAUAAACACCUUAAGAAUAGAUACCAGGUAACAAUAGCCAUCUUAAAACAUACUUCCG